rnacentral:lncRNA from 1 species
CUGGGCUAGAGGCGGGUCUCCACCAGCGACUCAUCGGAGGCGGGCUUGAGAGCAGCUGCAGGGGAGGCGCGCAGGAGCCUCGGCGGCGGCGGCGGCGGCGGCGGCGGCGGCGGCGGCGGCGGCCGAACCGACAGAGUCGGACCCGACACCAAAACCGAUAAUGGAUUUGGAUAUAUUGGCACACAGUGCUCUGAAAUAAAUAAGAUUA